rnacentral:rRNA from 1 species
AGAGCACUCCUACGGGAGGCAGCAGUGGGAAUAUUGCACAAUGGGCGCAAGCCUGAUGCAGCCAUGCCGCGUGUAUGAAGAAGGCCUUCGGGUUGUAAAGUACUUUCAGCAGUGAGGAAGGUGGGUAUGUUAAUAGCAUACUCAUUUGACGUUUAGCUGCAGAAGAAGCACCGGCUAACUCCGUGCCAGCAGCCGCGGUAAUACGGAGGGUGCGAGCGUUAAUCGGAAUUACUGGGCGUAAAGCGCAUGCAGGUGGUUUGUUAAGUCAGAUGUGAAAGCCCGGGGCUCAACCUCGGAAUUGCAUUUGAAACUGGCAAACUAGAGUACUGUAGAGGGGGUAGAAUUUCAGGUGUAGCGGUGAAAUGCGUAGAGAUCUGAAGGAAUACCGGUGGCGAAGGCGGCCCCCUGGACAGAUACUGACACUCAGAUGCGAAAGCGUGGGGAGCAAACAGGAUUAGAUACCCUGGGAG